rnacentral:ncRNA from 1 species
UCCCCUGCUUUUCCUCCCUGAGCAGGUGCCUUGGCGUGAUGACAGCGGCAAGGCUUGCCGGCCCCGGCUGCAUGCCGGGGCCUCUUUUUU